rnacentral:rRNA from 1 species
UACGUAGGGUGCAAGCGUUGUCCGGAAUUAUUGGGCGUAAAGAGCUCGUAGGCGGCUUGCCGCGUCGGCUGUGAAAACCUGGGGCUCAACCCCGGGCCUGCAGCCGAUACGGGCAAGCUAGAAUUCGGUAGGGGAGACUGGAAUUCCUGGUGUAGCGGUGAAAUGCGCAGAUAUCAGGAGGAACACCGGUGGCGAAGGCGACUACCUGGCCUGUUCUUGACGCUGAGGCGCGAAAGCUAGGGGAGCAAACGGG